GGGGAUAACACUUAGAAAUAGGUGCUAAUACCGCAUAAGCGCACAUCGCGCAUGGGGCAGAGUGAAAAACAUUAGUGGUGUAAGAUGGACCCGCGUCUGAUUAGCUUGUUGGCGAGGUAACGGCCCUCCAAGGCGACGAUCAGUAGCCGGCCUGAGAGGGUGGACGGCCACAUUGGGACUGAGACACGGCCCAAACUCCUACGGGAGGCAGCAGUGGGGGAUAUUGGACAAUGGGGGAAACCCUGAUCCAGCGACGCCGCGUGAGUGAAGAAGUAUUUCGGUAUGUAAAGCUCUAUCAGCAGGGAAGAAAGAAAUGACGGUACCUGAGUAAGAAGCCCCGGCUAACUACGUGCCAGCAGCCGCGGUAAUACGUAGGGGGCAAGCGUUAUCCGGAAUUACUGGGUGUAAAGGGAGCGUAGACGGUAAUGCAAGUCUGGAGUGAAAGGCGGGGGCCCAACCCCCGGACUGCUCUGGAAACUGUGUAACUGGAGUGCAGGAGAGGCAGGCGGAAUUCCUAGUGUAGCGGUGAAAUGCGUAGAUAUUAGGAGGAACACCAGUGGCGAAGGCGGCCUGCUGGACUGUAACUGACGUUGAGGCUCGAAAGCGUGGGGAGCAAACAGGAUUAGAUACCCUGGUAGUCC
rnacentral:rRNA from 1 species